AUGAAUUUUAGGGUUAAAUGUAGAAAUCCGGCUGUUGUCACACUGUUUUAUUUUCUUAUUACAGGUCUUCUCUUGAACAAUGAUGAUGAAGCUGGCUGCUCUAGAGGAUCCAAUGAUCAGCUGAGGUUUAUGGUGCUUGGAGGUGAUGAUGAUCUUAUGGAUAAAGCAUGUGGCACAAUCCUGGGAGAAAGAGAGAACAGGGAUGCAUUUAAAUUUGGAAUACUCAAGCCGAAAACAGCUUACGUUUGUGGACGAGAGGUUUCAGUAUUAAAAACUCCAUCAUAUUGGCUGGAACACUUGGAAUCAUACUACAUUCUCAGCAAUGGAGUCAAAUCUCUGAAAAAUGACCUGCAGUACUUUGAAUUGCUGUCGUUUCCGGGAACUAAUGCCUUUCUUUUAGUACACAGAGAUGUGAAAAACUCUGGUAGUGAGUAUUAUCUUUUAAAAGCUCUCAGUGAUGUGUUCGGGAAGGAGGUCUUGGACUACUGCAUGGUAUUAUUUAUAGAUGAGGCUAGGCACGAUGAUCCAAUAAAGAACACCUGUUUGCAGAUGUGUGGAGGCAGAUACCACAUCUUACAGAGCACUGAAGAAAAUCUUAAUCUGUUAUUUAAAAAACAAGAGGCAAUGACACAGUGGAAAAGCAGCAAUUUUUUCACAAAUAAUUGGGAAAUUUUCAGAAUAGCUGAAAAUUAUUUUGAAGCGGAGUAUAAGAAAAAGGAGAAUAAACUGAGGAUAGAAUUGGCAGAAAAUAAACAAAGUGUUGAAAAUCUAAAGGAAAUUAAUGAUAUGAAAGAACUAGACGCAAAGAAAGAUACAAGAAUCAAGGAUGAGCAUAAUAAACUGGCUGAGUCCAAAGACAGAGAAAACAGCUACGCAGUGAGUUGGAUGCUCUCAAAAGCAGUGAAAACCAGAAGGAGGAGGACUUACAGAAGCUAAAACAAGAGCUGAACAUUUACAAAAAAAAAAGUUGGCUGCUCUCAAAAACAGUGAAAAGCUAAAACAGGGAGAAGCUAAAACAAUAGAUGAUCAUUUACAAAGACAAAGAGAGACACUUUAAAGAUGACAGAAUUAAACUUCAGAGAGACAAAAAAAAGGACAGCUCAAAGAAAAUAAAAAACAGUAAUCUGACCGCAGCAAAAGAACUGUUUCUACCGUUCAAAUAACAAUCAGAAUGUGCUAUAUUCCAGAGAGAGGAAGAAAUACAAGUCAAAGAAAAAGGAGCUGUGUGAGAAAGAGAGAGAACUGGAUAGAGGAGUCGAGGAAUUGGAUAAAAGAGAGAGAAAUCUGGAUGAACGAGAGAAGCAGCUGGAGAUCAGAGAGAGAGAGAAGUGAAACAGAGAAAUCCUGGAUCUAGUGAACACUGAAGGAGUGGAAUCCUGGAUUCAUCACGGCCUUCAUAAAAUAUUUAAUUAUCCUUUUCCGUGAUUAUUGAUCAAGUUAUUAAUCAGCAUUUAGCCUCAUAGAUUUUUAGUUGAUUGAAUACAAUUAUUAUUUACCAUGCACCAGUGAGUAGACAUUGAAAAUAUGUAUAUUUAUAACUUUCUCUCCCUUAGUGAGAAGUUGGAAUGUGUAACUAGGUUUUGUUUAUUCUCUCAGGGUCACUGUGACUGCCCAAGUGCUACCUGUGCUUUGACGUAAUUAGAAACCUCUGUUAGAGUAGAAUCCGUGGUGUCUUGAGCAAGUACACAGAGCGGCCUACGAACUCCUUGAGAGUAUUGAAGCUGAUUUCUGCUGAUGAAACUGCAAACUAUUUUCUUCAGUAAAUUUUUCUCAGUUGACUUCAUCUCUUGACUCCUGGUCUUCAUUCAUCAUACCUGGUUCCUUGGGUUUAACUGUAAAUUCCCCUACACUCUUAAGCUUCAGUAAUUUUUUUCUUCAGUUGACUUCAUCUCUGACUCCUGGUCUUCAUUCAUCAUACCCGGUCCUUGGGUUUUAACUGUAAAUUCCCCUACACUCCUAAGAAAAAUGGAUCUAAACAGAACCAGAAAAGGGUUCUUCAGCUUGUAACAACAGCAGAACCCUUUUUGGUGCUAAAUAGAACACUUUUAUAGGGUUCCAUAAAUAACCUUGCUUUGAAAGUGCUAUUGUGACGUCCCAGUCUAAGUUGGGCGAGAGUGUUUGGUUGUGUAUGAUUUUUAGGUGCCAUGUGGAGGGGGCGUGGCUGACACACCUGACACAGCAGUUAAAUAUCUGAGAGCGUUUUUUGUGAGCGAUCGUCUCCAGCAUGGUGUAUGAUGUCCCGUGUUAUGUUGAGUGUUCUGCCCGGCCCUAAAACGUUUUCUUGUUUAUGUUAUACUUAUGUUUGUUCUUCUUGCGUUAAAAUAAAUGUUUUGCAAAGAAUUACUGCAUCUGGUCUCCUACUUGUUGCAGCCUAGGAGCCGGCUGUAACAGCUAUAUAGACCCUUCAUGGUGUUAUAAAUUGCCUUUUUAAUGAUGGUUUAUUUUCAUUAAUAUUAGUAUAUUUAUAUCAUAAUAUUAGCAUUAUUAAUAUAAUUUGUAUAUAUUAUUCAUGAAUAUCUCAUGAAUAUUCCCUCUAUAUCUACAAUAUCUUGUAGCGUCUGUUAGAGUUCUCUUAAGCUAAGAGAAAGGGUGGUCUUAACCACAUUGCUAUGGAAC
rnacentral:lncRNA from 1 species